GUCAGGAUGGCCGAGCGGUCUAAGGCGCCAUGCUCAGGCCCUGGAGGCGUGGGUUCAAAUCCCACUCCUGACA